AUGGGGCUGUCGUGAACCAUCUGCAGAUCGACUUUGGGUCCCACCAGGUCACGGAUAUUGUUGAUACCAUACUUGAUCAUAGUUGGCCUGAUUGAUUAUAAUUUUGUUAUAUUAUAUAUGCUCACCAGUUCAAUUUUAAUUUUGAAAAUUACCUUUCGAGAGACAAUCCCCAGCCGUAAAUAUUCACAUUUUCAGGCAAGCCCAUCGGCAACAACAUUUCUGGUCUGAACAUUCCCGAGUUUCCAAUCUCGAUCCAUUUUUUCAAACCUUCAUGAUAGCUGAAGAUUUCCAUGCUUGGCUCUGUGUAAGGAUUGUAUGCUGGCUUGAAGUAAAGCUUCUCAAUGCCCAGUUUCUUAAAGAACUCGUAAAGUACGCCUGGAAAGUCAGCAAUCACGCCUUCUACUUGGUGGAAUUCUGCAAGGUGGGUUGCGUCCAAGGUUUCAUUUCGGAACACCCUGUCGAUGCUGAAGUACUUCACCGGUCUGAAGCCCUCCUUUGCCAACUUGUGAAGCAUCCGAGCGCUGACCGCUGUGCUGUGGGUUCUCAGCAGGUUUUUCUGAGCUUCACCAAUUUUCCAGUCAUAACCAUAGCCCUGUGAACCAUGGCCCCCCUUGCUAUGGACGGUCUUAACCUUUUCUAGUUAGCAAAUCUACCUGACAAGAAAAAUGUAUCAUGAGCGUCUCUGGCUGGAUGUUGCUGGGGUUGAAAGAGGGCAUCAAAGUUCCAGAAAGAGCUCUCGACAUAAUUAUUAGUAGGCAUCUCGGUGAAUCUAUUAGUAAAUAAUUCAGACAUUAAAACGAUAACAAUAAAAUAUAAAAUAGUUAAUUUUAAUAUACCCCAUUUCAAGGAAGAUUUGUCUGAACUCGGCCCGAACUUUAAGCAGGGGGUGCAAAUGUCCACAAGGAGGUGGAACUCCAAGGGCGCCUAGAUUGUACUCCUUGAAUUGUUUUGAUUUCCACGUGCCCUGCGCAAUCAUCUCAGGAGUAAGGUCAGUUUCAGGUUUACUAAUGGACAGGUUGAACUCUGGCCCCUUGCUAAGAUGAAAACCUUUGACCACAACUUCUUGGAGAAGCUUCCGUUUCUUGUACUCUUGUUUCUGUUCAUCACUAAUCUUGUCAACUCCUUUUUGAAGUUGAGACAAAUUGAUUUGCACAACGUCAUCAAUGCUGGCCACCUUCUUUUUAAUAAUGGGCUGUCCGGAAGACUUGUCCAUCACAAUCCAGCCAGCAGACAUGGCUUUGCUGAAUCCAACUUUUGCGUUCGGUGCUUUCUUCAAAAAUUAAUUCAGAUAUUCAAUUAAAAUAUUCUGGUAAGGUAAUUAUUUUUUAGCAUACCAUAAGCUCAGGCUGAGGAAUCCCUUUGUCUGGAACUGCAUUAUAAACUACGGCCUCAUGACUACCUUUUUCGGCAACCAAUUUGCCUUCUGCUGUCAGCUCCCAUUGUUUUCUUGUGUACUGCUCUACGGCUAUGACCUGAAGACGCGACAAAUUUAAGUUAUAUACAUUUGUAAAAUAUAUUUCUUGAUGAUAUUUACGUUUCCUAAAGCUUCAAGACUUUUGAUUGCUCCAACAAUUUUUUGACUGUCCUCUUUCCAUUCAUCAGCCAGCAGGAGUGAAUCUCCUUUUCCCUUGGAAUCAAGGUACUGAAGGAUCUUUUCCGGGAGCGUAACACUCAUUUCUUGAAACAGAUAAUACAGAAUAUUAAAACAAGGAUCAAGAGAGAAGAAAAUGCAAGAAAAUAAAAGUUCUUAAAAAAAGCGUUUGAUUGCUGAUCUGCAUGUAAAAUGUAAUACAAUAGGGUCCAAUAUAAUAUUAAGGAUUGUCCCAACUACAUUUAAUCUUAAUAAUAUAAGAAAUUAUUUUGAGAUGAUGUCUUAAAUUUGCAAAUUUUGGCUAAAUCUUACUUGAUAUCACGACAAAACAACUGUCACACGUGGAUUCCUUUCAUCACACUUUCAUCAUCAGAGAGGCGAAGAAAAUAGAAAAUCAGCCUGUUUCACGCCCCCUUUUGUAGUUCUUAUUUAAUUCAACAGAGGGCUUUAGCAAGUGCAAUAAUUAAUUUUCAAUCCUGGUUGAAAAUGCUGAUUUUUUGCUUGUUUUUUGAAAUUGGAAUUAUAUACCAGACUUGUAAUUUUUAUUAUAGUAAAAAGUGGUAAAAAGAAAUAAACAAUUUAAAUAUCGUUUUAAAGUAAAAAUAAAAUAAAACAAUUUUUUAUGCUUGUGUAAUUAUUAAUAAAUAAUUCAAUUUCACAGUUAAAAAUGCUGCAUGAUACAAUUAGGGCGGCUUGAAUAUUUCACAGAAGGUCACUUAUUAAUUACAUACUAGAA